AACGAACGCUGGCGGCAGGCCUAACACAUGCAAGUCGAACGCCCCGCAAGGGGAGUGGCAGACGGGUGAGUAACACGUGGGAACCUUCCCAUCGCUGCGUAACAGCUCAGGGAAACUUGAGGUAAUACCGCAUACGCCCUUACGGGGAAAGAUUUAUCGGCGAUGGAUGGGCCCGCGGCUGAUUAGCUAGUUGGUGAGGUAAUGGCUCACCAAGGCGACGAUCAGUAGCUGGUCUGAGAGGACGACCAGCCACACUGGGACUGAGACACGGCCCAGACUCCUACGGGAGGCAGCAGUGGGGAAUAUUGGACAAUGGGCGCAAGCCUGAUCCAGCCAUGCCGCGUGAGUAACGAAGGUCUUCGGAUUGUAAAGCUCUUUUGGCGGGGACGAUAAUGACGGUACCCGCAGAAUAAGCCCCGGCUAACUUCGUGCCAGCCGCCGCAGUAA
rnacentral:rRNA from 1 species